UUCAGAGAGGAGUUUUUCUUCAUUUCCAUAGAGGCUCCACUUUGCAUUAUCAGCCCAUGCUUCAGUGCUCUGCUAGUGUUUAUAGUCCUGUGAGUUUAACACUUCAUGACUGAGAGCUGCUGCCCCACAAACUUCACCCACAGCAACCAUGACUUUGGUCUCCAUCUUCAUCUGGACACUCACCCUCUGGACGCAAGGAUCCAGUGGUCAGAUGACUGUAACUCAGACUCCUGCAGUGAAAACUGUUUCUCCAGGAGGCUCAGUUACCAUCAGCUGUAGAACAGGCACUGCAUCAAGCUCUCUUUCAUGGUAUCAGCAGAAACCUGGAGAAGCUCCUAAACUCCUGAUCUACUACGCUAGCAGGAGACAGUCAGGUGUUCCAGAUCGUUUCACUGGCAGUGGAUCUGGAUCUGACUUCACUCUGACCAUCAGUAAUGUCCAGACUGAAGAUGCAGGAGAUUAUUACUGUCUAAGUUAUUACAGUAGUGGUAGUGUGUUCCCACAGUGUUUAGUAGGUGUACAAAAAGCUCCCUCAGUCAGCUGCACAGAGACUGCACUGCUGCAGCUGGACUCUACUGCAGGUGCUGAGGGGGAGGAUGGACACACACAAUAACACACUCUGUGGAAAUCAGGACUUUAGAUGGAAUUUGUUCUUCUUUUCAUUAGACUGUAAAUGCUUUGUGAUUUUAGGGAUUUAUUUCCUGAUCUCCACAGGUCUGGAACUAGCUGUAGAGUUCAGCUAGAGUCUCAUUUAUUAUAAAGUUUAUUAUAAGGAUCUGGACAGAUUAUGAAAUGGAUGUUUCUCUCAGUCCUGAGAAAGAGGGAGUCCCUGAAGAAAUCCUUCAACAAACUCAGACUGAUCAGUUUUUAUUAGGAGAUCAUAUUCAGAGGUGAGUAGACUGUAAAAAGGCAGUUUGUCUGUUUAACCUAAACACACUUCACAUGGUAACAAAUGGUUUAACUGUUUAUUCAUCCAAGAUAAAUACUUUUAACAAGACAUUUACUCAUUCAAAUA